rnacentral:rRNA from 1 species
AGAGUUUGAUAAUGGCUCAGGAUGAACGCUAGCGGCAGGCUUAACACAUGCAAGUCGAGGGGUAUAGGUUUUCGGACCUAGAGACCGGCACACGGGUGCGUAACGCGUAUGCAAUCUACCUUUUACAGAGGGAUAGCCCAGAGAAAUUUGGAUUAAUACCUCAUAGUAUAGCUGAACCGCAUGGUUCUACUAUUAAAGUCACAACGGUAAAAGAUGAGCAUGCGUCCCAUUAGCUAGUUGGUAAGGUAACGGCUUACCAAGGCUACGAUGGGUAGGGGUCCUGAGAGGGAGAUCCCCCACACUGGUACUGAGACACGGACCAGACUCCUACGGGAGGCAGCAGUGAGGAAUAUUGGUCAAUGGACGCAAGUCUGAACCAGCCAUGCCGCGUGCAGGAUGACGGUCCUAUGGAUUGUAAACUGCUUUUGCACAGGAAGAAACAACUCUACGUGUAGAGUCUUGACGGUACUGUGAGAAUAAGGAUCGGCUAACUCCGUGCCAGCAGCCGCGGUAAUACGGAGGAUCCAAGCGUUAUCCGGAAUCAUUGGGUCUAAAGGGUCCGUAGGCGGUUUAGUAAGUCAGUGGUGAAAGCCCAUCGCUCAACGGUGGAACGGCCAUUGAUACUGCUAGACUUGAAUUAUUAGGAAGUAACUAGAAUAUGUAGUGUAGCGGUGAAAUGCUUAGAGAUUACAUGGAAUACCAAUUGCGAAGGCAGGUUACUACUAAUGGAUUGACGCUGAUGGACGAAAGCGUGGGUAGCGAACAGGACUAGAUACCCUGGUAGUCCACGCCGUAAACGAUGGAUACUAGCUGUUGGAAGCAAUUUCAGUGGCUAAGCGAAAGUGAUAAGUAUCCCACCAGGGGAGUACGUUCGCAAGAAUGAAACUCAAAGGAAUUGACGGGGGCCCGCACAAGCGGUGGAGCAUGUGGUUUAAUUCGAUGAUACGCGAGGAACCUUACCAAGGCUUAAAUGUAGAUUGACCGGUUUGGAAACAGACUUUUCGCAAGACAAUUUACAAGGUGCUGCAUGGUUGUCGUCAGCUCGUGCCGUGAGGUGUCAGGUUAAGUCCUAUAACGAGCGCAACCCCUGUUGUUAGUUGCCAGCGAGUCAUGUCGGGAACUCUAACAAGACUGCCAGUGUAAACUGUGAGGAAGGUGGGGAUGACGUCAAAUCAUCACGGCCCUUACGCCUUGGGCUACACACGUGCUACAAUGGCCGGUACAGAGAGCAGCCACUGGGCGACCAGGAGCGAAUCUACAAAACCGGUCACAGUUCGGAUCGGAGUCUGCAACUCGACUCCGUGAAGCUGGAAUCGCUAGUAAUCGGAUAUCAGCCAUGAUCCGGUGAAUACGUUACCGGGCCUUGUACACACCGCCCGUCAAGCCAUGGAAGCUGGGGGUGCCUGAAGUCGGUGACCGCAAGGAGCUGCCUAGGGUAAAACUGGUAACUAGGGCUAAGUCGUAACAAGGUA